rnacentral:rRNA from 1 species
GUGGGGAAUAUUGGACAAUGGGGGGAACCCUGAUCCAGCCAUGCCGCGUGUGUGAAGAAGGCCUUUUGGUUGUAAAGCACUUUAAGCGAGGAGGAGGCUACCGAGAUUAAUACUCUUGGAUAGUGGACGUUACUCGCAGAAUAAGCACCGGCUAACUCUGUGCCAGCAGCCGCGGUAAUACAGAGGGUGCGAGCGUUAAUCGGAUUUACUGGGCGUAAAGCGUGCGUAGGCGGCUUUUUAAGUCGGAUGUGAAAUCCCCGAGCUUACCUUGGGAAUUGCAUUCGAUACUGGGAAGCUAGAGUAUGGGAGAGGAUGGUAGAAUUCCAGGUGUAGCGGUGAAAUGCGUAGAGAUCUGGAGGAAUACCGAUGGCGAAGGCAGCCAUCUGGCCUAAUACUGACGCUGAGGUACGAAAGCAUGGGGAGCAAACAGGAUUAGAUACCCUGGUAGUCC